rnacentral:rRNA from 1 species
UGGGGAAUAUUGCACAAUGGGCGCAAGCCUGAUGCAGCAACGCCGCGUGAGGGAUGACGGCCUUCGGGUUGUAAACCUCUUUUAGUAGGGAAGAAGCGCAAGUGACGGUACCUGCAGAAAAAGCACCGGCUAACUACGUGCCAGCAGCCGCGGUAAUACGUAGGGUGCAAGCGUUGUCCGGAAUUAUUGGGCGUAAAGAGCUCGUAGGCGGCUUGUCGCGUCUGCUGUGAAAACCCGAGGCUCAACCUCGGGCUUGCAGUGGGUACGGGCAGGCUAGAGUGCGGUAGGGGAGAGUGGAAUUCCUGGUGUAGCGGUGGAAUGCGCAGAUAUCAGGAGGAACACCGAUGGCGAAGGCAGAUCUCUGGGCCGCUACUGACGCUGAGGAGCGAAAGCAUGGGGAGCGAACA